GACGAACGCUGGCGGCGUGCCUAAUACAUGCAAGUAGAACGCUGAAGGGAGGAGCUUGCUCUUCUUGGAUGAGUUGCGAACGGGUGAGUAACGCGUAGGUAACCUGCCUUGUAGCGGGGGAUAACUAUUGAAACGAUAGCUAAUACCGCAUAACAAUGGAUGACACAUGUCAUUUAUUUGAAAGGGGCAAUUGCUCCACUACAAGAUGGACCUGCGUUGUAUUAGCUAGUAGGUGAGGUAAUGGCUCACCUAGGCGACGAUACAUAGCCGACCUGAGAGGGUGAUCGGCCACACUGGGACUGAGACACGGCCCAGACUCCUACGGGAGGCAGCAGUAGGGAAUCUUCGGCAAUGGGGGCAACCCUGACCGAGCAACGCCGCGUGAGUGAAGAAGGGUUUCGGAUCGUAAAGGUCUGUUGUAAGUCAAGAACGGGUGUGAGAGUGGAAAGUUCACACUGUGACGGUAGCUUACCAGAAAGGGACGGCUAACUACGUG
rnacentral:rRNA from 1 species